UAAACUAGGAUUAGAUACCCUAUUAUUUUAAAUGUAAAUUUUAUGUACUAAAUUAGUAUCAGUUAUGUUCUUGAAAAUUAAAAAAUUUGGCGGUGUUUUAGUCUUUUCAGAGGAAUCUGCCCUGUAAUUGAUAGUCCACGAUAAAUUUAACUUUAUUUAUUAGUUUACAUAUCGUCGUAGAUUAAAUAUUUUAAUAGAAUUUUAAUAUUUGUGAUUUUUAAUUAAAAAAUAAAUCAGAUCAAGGUGUAGUUUAUAGUAAAGAAGAGGUGGGUUACAUUAAAUAUAUUUAAGGAUAUUUUUUUUAAAAAAAUUUUGAAUAUGGAUUUGAUAGUAAUUUUAAAUAUUUUUUUAAAAUGAUUAUAGCUCUAAAAUAUGCACACAUCGCCCGUCGCUCUUAA
rnacentral:rRNA from 1 species